UACGUAGGGUGCAAGCGUUAAUCGGAAUUACUGGGCGUAAAGCGUGCGCAGGCGGUUCUAUAAGACAGAUGUGAAAUCCCCGGGCUUAACCUGGGAACUGCAUUCGAGACUGCAUUGCUAGAGUAUGGGAGAGGGAAGUGGAAUUUCCGGUGUAGCGGUGAAAUGCGUAGAUAUCGGAAGGAACAUCAGUGGCGAAAGCGACUUCCUGGACCAAUACUGACGCUCAUGUGCGAAAGCGUGGGGAGCAAACAGG
rnacentral:rRNA from 1 species